rnacentral:rRNA from 1 species
UACAGAGGGUGCAAGCGUUAAUCGGAAUUACUGGGCGUAAAGCGUGCGUAGACGGUAGCGUAAGUCGGGUGUGAAAGCCCCGGGCUCAACCUGGGAAUUGCAUUCGAGACUGCUCUGCCAGGGUGCGGAAGAGGGAAGCGGAAUUUCCGGUGUAGCGGUGAAAUGCGUAGAUAUCGGGAGGAACACCAGAGGCGAAGGCGGCAAGCUGGAUGGGCACUGACACUCAACUGCGAAAGCGUGGGGAGCAAACAGG